GAUGAACGCUGGCGGCGUGCUUAACACAUGCAAGUCGAACGGUGAACACGGAGCUUUCUCUGUCGGAUCAGUGGCGAACGGGUGAGUAACACGUGAGCAACCUGCCCCUGACACUGGGAUAAGCGCUCGGAACAGCGGCUAUUACUGGAGAUGUUACGUUACCGCAUAGUCUGCGUUUGUAAAGAUCGUUCGGGUGGUGAUGGUCUCACGGCCUAUCAGCUUGUUGGUGAGUUAAUGGCUUACCAAGGCAUCGACGGGUCGCCGGCCUGAGAGCGGGACCGGCGACACUGGGACUGAGAGAGGGCGCAGUCGCCAACGGGCCGCAGCAGUGGGGAAUAUUGCGCAAUGGGCGCAAGCCUGAUGCAGCAGCGCCGCGUGAGGGAUGACGGGCUUCGAGUUGUAAACAUCUUUGAGAGGGGAAGAAGCGAAAGUGACGGUACCUGAAGAAAAAGCGCCGGCUAACUACGUG
rnacentral:rRNA from 1 species